AGCGCGACGGUGACAUUGCGGUGUGUGGCCUCUAGGACAAGAAGACUGGGCUUACGUUGGAUGUAAGUUAUUGUCGUCCGGCAAGAUUUUGAAAAGUGAUGUGAUAGCCACUGAACCUUGAAGCAAUUGAAGACCAGAAAGCCUUAGUGCGAUCGGCUGGAUUCAGAUGGCCUAUAUGUAUACCAUUGGAAGAGUUAAUGAAGAACCUCCUCCGGAAAGUUUACUGCAACAAAGAUUGCUUCCCGAGAGCGACACUCGUUAAGGAUGGAAAAAUCUGGACGAAGCCGACCACCUCAACACCGCACCAAUGGCAGAAGAGGACGGUCCGGAGCGCAUGGGUGAAGACGAUUGUGCGGUGGAAGUCGCAAAUGUCCUACCUGGACAAAAAGCCAAGAGGGGAAGGGAGACUUGUUUCCGGAGGACAAAUCUUCACAUCGAGAGACUAACGAUGACGCUCAGGAAAAAAAACACCACUGGCAAAGAAAGACGUAUUGUCUGGUGCAAUGCGGAAAAGGCAGCUGUGAUGAGGCAGCUUGGCCUGUUUGUUAGCCGCAUGGAGGUUUCUGACCAAGCUGCAUGUUUACGUGCCCUGUCAGCAGAAAAUGAUCUGUCCUAGCGCUCAUGGAGAGAUGUUAAAUCCAUGUCCAUAACGUGAUCGUUAGAGCACGUCGUAAGGCGAAGUGAGUCUCAGUGACUUACACAUUAGAUGUCGACUUCGUUCACGUUUGGAUGAUGCUCGCCCGUAAAUUUUGCAACGACAAAAACGAUCUCCUUGUUGUUGCUCCCGUUUAUAGUAGCAAUCUGUGUAGGUGGAGCUGAUGAACGGUGAAAAAGCAGUGCUCACCAAGGGCAGUGUGGCGAGAUUUGCAAUUCUGGGCGGAAGGUGACACCUAAGCACGGAAAUAGACCCACCCCAUUGGUAAAAAUGCGUUAUACCUGAAUGUCAAUU